AGUCAUCUGGCGAACCAAUAAGCUAUAGAAAGAGAAAAAUGAUGCAUAAAUUAUUUUACUUAAAGUAAUCCACACAGUAAACAGAGAACAGGCAAUUUCAUAUUUAAAUGAGCCAAAAAUGUACUUCGUUUUUCAUGCAGGGGUGGGGGGAUCAAGAUAAAGGUUAAAAUGAUGGAAUAGCCCAAAACUCUAAAGCAAUAAUGACACAUUAUGGGAAAAGAAAAAG
rnacentral:misc_RNA from 1 species